rnacentral:lncRNA from 1 species
UCGAGAAUUAGACGUCGGGGUCUAAAUGAAAGUUAUAGAUCUUGUUUUUACCUAAGCGUUGAAAAAAAGAACGUUGAAAACAGAGCUCGUAUGUAAGAGUUUUGAUUUUUCUAAGUUGGGAGGCUGAUACGCGAUAUUGGGUGACGUGGCACCACCAGAAUUGGACACGUGGCACCACCAGAAGGCUGCCACAUGCACCAACUCGGAGAGUCUGAGUCAAGACUCGGCGAGUCCAUCAGAUAUAUUCACUAUAAAUAGAGGUGCCGGGCAUUCCAAUUUCCUCACACCUCACCCUUCAACUUUCUCUCUUUACAUACUCUCUCUAGCCUAUCCUAACCCCCCUAAAGUAUAGGUAAACCCCCUAGCACCCGAAGGAAGCCCCGAGAAAAGAGCCUUUCGGCUCGAAAAUACUGCUCCAGCGAAGGCUGGCUUUUGAGAAAAACCCGCUGUAAGUGAGCUAUGCCUAACCUAUCCUUAGUAUAGCUUUUGUUUUAAUAUAGUAAUGUUAUUAGGACCUUAUAAUAAGUACUUGGGCUAUUAUUUUGUGUUAUAUAAGUAUCAUUUAACGCUUAUAUAAUAGUAAUAAUAGCAAGACUAUUAAUUAGUCAUGAUGAAUGUUUGACUAAACCCUAGUGGUAAUGAUGCUAGGUUUUGAAGAAGGAAAACUGUGUUAAGAGUAACGAAGUGCUAUCCGAGUGCCGAAUCACCACCUUUUCAGGUGAGUGCAUAGUUACUUUCAGCUUACACAUAGAUAUGAAGUAUUUUAUAUAAAUUACAUGCUGUGUGUGCAUAUUAUCUGUAUACUUGCUAUCUAUGCUAGAUGAACAAUAUUAUACAUGUUUUAAAUGAUUUAAAAUGUAUAUGUAUUUUAUAUCUACAAAAUGUGUUGGGUAAAACAUGGGUAGAUGUAAUAGUUGCUAUGUGACAAAAUAAAAUGAUGAGAGGCCUCGUUAUAGAUGUUAUUGAUGAUCCAGUCAUCUAGCGGAGUAUAGAUGACGACCACAGACUAUUCUAGACAGUCCAGUGGAACGCUAGCAGGCUCGCAACCUGUAGGUGUUUAUUUGAANUUUUAGAUGAUGUAAUAGUCUAGGUCAACUAUUGUAACACUUUUUGAGAUAAUAAAGAUGAAAUAUUUGAAUACUAUGUGAAUUAUGUGUAUUUAUGUGCUUAUUACUUAUUUAUAAAUGUAUAAUAAAUAAAGGAUAAAAAUAAGCGUCAAAAUUAAAGUGUGAUAUAAACCCGAUAUCUUUACGUAAAGUUGUAUUGGUCGAAACAAGGAUUCCGAAGAUAUAAAGAACGCCGAAAUCCGAAUUAUAACGAAGAACUUAUGACUCGUCGAAGUUUCGCGACGGAAUCGACACGGCAUCGGGAAGUGUAAAUAGUGAAUUUACGAUGGAGUGACUUUUAGCCUUAGUUAUCUAAAAAAAAGUUGUAGUAUAUGUUAAACCGAGAAAAUCCAUAAAAAGAACGCCCAAAUCUGACUUCGUAUGAGGAAGUUAUGAUUUUUUAAUGUUUCGGCUUAUUAGUGUACAACCUGAAACUCGAAUUUUAGUUUGAGCAGUUUUUGGCUUACGUCACCUAAAUGAGAGUUGAAGAUCUCAUUAAUAGGAACUCAACGGUAAAAAGACAGACGAAAACGGAGUCCGUAUGAAGGAGUUACGAAUUCUUCGUGGUCAUUUAGCAGUCUAAUCUCUUCCUACUGUUAAACUUAAGAUCGGUCGAGAAUUAGACGUCGGGGUCUAAAUGAAAGUUAUAGAUCUUGUUUUUACCUAAGCGUUGAAAAAAAGAACGUUGAAAACAGAGCUCGUAUGUAAGAGUUUUGAUUUUUCUAAGUUGGGAGGCUGAUACGCGAUAUUGGGUGACGUGGCACCACCAGAAUUGGACACGUGGCACCACCAGAAGGCUGCCACAUGCACCAACUCGGAGAGUCUGAGUCAAGACUCGGCGAGUCCAUCAGAUAUAUUCACUAUAAAUAGA